AUACGUAGGUGGCGAGCGUUGUCCGGAUUUAUUGGGUUUAAAGGGUGCGUAGGCGUCCUGACAAGUUUUAGGUGAAAUGCCCAGGCUCAACCUGGGAGCUGCCUGAAAAACUGUUGGGAUUGAGUACAGACGAGGUAGGCGGAAUUGACGGUGUAGCGGUGAAAUGCAUAGAUAUCGUCAGGAACACCAAUAGCGUAGGCAGCUUACUAGACUGUAACUGACGCUGAGGCACGAAAGUGUGGGGAUCAAACAGGAUUAGAUACCCUGGUAGUCCACACUGUAAACGUUGAUGACUCGCUGUGUGCGAUAUACAGUACGCGGCCAAGCGAAAGCGAUAAGUCAUCCACCUGGGGAGUACGCCGGCAACGGUGAA
rnacentral:rRNA from 1 species